AGCGAACGCUGGCGGCAGGCCUAACACAUGCAAGUCGAGCGGUCGUAGCAAUACGGCAGCGGCAGACGGGAGAGUAACACGUGGGAACGCGCCCUUCGGUUCGGGAUAACCCAGGGAAACUUGGGCUAAUACCGGAUACGCCCUUACGGGGAAAGAUUUAUUGCCGAAGGAACGGCCCGCGUCCGAUUAGCUAGUUGGUGAGGUAACGGCUCACCAAGGCGACGAUCGGUAGCUGGUCUGAGAGGAUGACCAGCCUCACUGGGACUGAGACACGGCCCAGACUCCUACGGGUGGCUG
rnacentral:rRNA from 1 species